GCGGACGUAGUGCACGGCGCACCACUGUCUUUACAUUACAUGAUUGAUUGGUGGUAUGAAGUUAACAAGCAGUUGACGGGGUUCGACUCCCUGCGUCUGCC